rnacentral:rRNA from 1 species
CGGGACACGUGGUAUCCUGUCUGAAUAUGGGGGGACCAUCCUCCAAGGCUAAAUACUCCUGACUGACCGAUAGUGAACCAGUACCGUGAGGGAAAGGCGAAAAGAACCCCGGCGAGGGGAGUGAAAAAGAACCUGAAACCGUGUACGUACAAGCAGUGGGAGCACAGAGCAAUCUGUGUGACUGCGUACCUUUUGUAUAAUGGGUCAGCGACUUAUAUUCUGUAGCAAGGUUAACCGAAUAGGGGAGCCGAAGGGAAACCGAGUCUUAACUGGGCGUUAAGUUGCAGGGUAUAGACCCGAAACCCGGUGAUCUAGCCAUGGGCAGGUUGAAGGUUGGGUAACACUAACUGGAGGACCGAACCGACUAAUGUUGAAAAAUUAGCGGAUGACUUGUGGCUGGGGGUGAAAGGCCAAUCAAACCGGGAGAUAGCUGGUUCUCCCCGAAAGCUAUUUAGGUAGCGCCUCGUGAAUUCAUCUCCGGGGGUAGAGCACUGUUUCGGCAAGGGGGUCAUCCCGACUUACCAACCCGAUGCAAACUGCGAAUACCGGAGAAUGUUAUCACGGGAGACACACGGCGGGUGCUAACGUCCGUCGUGAAGAGGGAAACAACCCAGACCGCCAGCUAAGGUCCCAAAGUCAUGGUUAAGUGGGAAACGAUGUGGGAAGGCCCAGACAGCCAGGAUGUUGGCUUAGAAGCAGCCAUCAUUUAAAGAAAGCGUAAUAGCUCACUGGUCGAGUCGGCCUGCGCGGAAGAUGUAACGGGGCUAAACCAUGCACCGAAGCUGCGGCAGCGACGCUGAUGCGUUGUUGGGUAGGGGAGCGUUCUGUAAGCCUGCGAAGGUGUGCUGUGAGGCAUGCUGGAGGUAUCAGAAGUGCGAAUGCUGACAUAAGUAACGAUAAAGCGGGUGAAAAGCCCGCUCGCCGGAAGACCAAGGGUUCCUGUCCAACGUUAAUCGGGGCAGGGUGAGUCGACCCCUAAGGCGAGGCCGAAAGGCGUAGUCGAUGGGAAACAGGUUAAUAUUCCUGUACUUGGUGUUACUGCGAAGGGGGGACGGAGAAGGCUAUGUUGGCCGGGCGACGGUUGUCCCGGUUUAAGCGUGUAGGCUGGUUUUCCAGGCAAAUCCGGAAAAUCAAGGCUGAGGCGUGAUGACGAGGCACUACGGUGCUGAAGCAACAAAUGCCCUGCUUCCAGGAAAAGCCUCUAAGCAUCAGGUAACAUCAAAUCGUACCCCAAACCGACACAGGUGGUCAGGUAGAGAAUACCAAGGCGCUUGAGAGAACUCGGGUGAAGGAACUAGGCAAAAUGGUGCCGUAACUUCGGGAGAAGGCACGCUGAUAUGUAGGUGAAGUCCCUCGCGGAUGGAGCUGAAAUCAGUCGAAGAUACCAGCUGGCUGCAACUGUUUAUUAAAAACACAGCACUGUGCAAACACGAAAGUGGACGUAUACGGUGUGACGCCUGCCCGGUGCCGGAAGGUUAAUUGAUGGGGUCAGCGCAAGCGAAGCUCUUGAUCGAAGCCCCGGUAAACGGCGGCCGUAACUAUAACGGUCCUAAGGUAGCGAAAUUCCUUGUCGGGUAAGUUCCGACCUGCACGAAUGGCGUAAUGAUGGCCAGGCUGUCUCCACCCGAGACUCAGUGAAAUUGAACUCGCUGUGAAGAUGCAGUGUACCCGCGGCAAGACGGAAAGACCCCGUGAACCUUUACUAUAGCUUGACACUGAACAUUGAGCCUUGAUGUGUAGGAUAGGUGGGAGGCUUUGAAGUGUGGACGCCAGUCUGCAUGGAGCCGACCUUGAAAUACCACCCUUUAAUGUUUGAUGUUCUAACGUGGACCCGUAAUCCGGGUUGCGGACAGUGUCUGGUGGGUAGUUUGACUGGGGCGGUCUCCUCCUAAAGAGUAACGGAGGAGCACGAAGGUUGGCUAAUCCUGGUCGGACAUCAGGAGGUUAGUGCAAUGGCAUAAGCCAGCUUGACUGCGAGCGUGACGGCGCGAGCAGGUGCGAAAGCAGGUCAUAGUGAUCCGGUGGUUCUGAAUGGAAGGGCCAUCGCUCAACGGAUAAAAGGUACUCCGGGGAUAACAGGCUGAUACCGCCCAAGAGUUCAUAUCGACGGCGGUGUUUGGCACCUCGAUGUCGGCUCAUCACAUCCUGGGGCUGAAGUAGGUCCCAAGGGUAUGGCUGUUCGCCAUUUAAAGUGGUACGCGAGCUGGGUUUAGAACGUCGUGAGACAGUUCGGUCCCUA